CAGUCGCCGCGGGAAUACGAAGGGGGCUAGCGUUGCUCGGAAUCACUGGGCGUAAAGGGCGCGUAGGCGGACUUUUAAGUCGGGGGUGAAAGCCCAGGGCUCAACCCUGGAAUUGCCUUCGAUACUGAGAGUCUUGAGUUCGGAAGAGGUUGGUGGAACUGCGAGUGUAGAGGUGAAAUUCGUAGAUAUUCGCAAGAACACCAGUGGCGAAGGCGGCCAACUGGUCCGAUACUGACGCUGAGGCGCGAAAGCGUGGGGAGCAAACAGGAUUAGAUACCCGUGUAGUCCCUGUCUCUUAUAC
rnacentral:rRNA from 1 species